rnacentral:rRNA from 1 species
GUAGGGUGCAAGCGUUGCCCGGAUUUAUUGGGCGUAAAGGGCGCGUAGGCGGCCCGGCGCGUCCGCGGUGAAAGCUCCCGGCUCAACUGGGAGAGGUCCGCGGAAACGGUCGGGCUGGAGCAAGGUAGGGGGUCGUGGAAUUCCCGGUGUAGUGGUGGAAUGCGUAGAGAUCGGGAGGAACACCAGUGGCGAAGGCGGCGACCUGGACCUGUGCUGACGCUGAUGCGCGAAAGCGUGGGGAGCGAUCCGGAUUAGAUACCCGGGUAGUCCACGCCGUAAACGAUGCACACUAGGUGUCGGGGGUAUCGACCCCCUCGGCGCCGCAGCUAACGCAUUAAGUGUGCCGCCUGGGGACUACGGCCGCAAGGCUAAA